UCCUACGGGGAGGCAGCAGUAGGGAAUCUUCCGCAAUGGGCGAAAGCCUGACGGAGCAACGCCGCGUGAGUGAUGAAGGUCUUCGGAUCGUAAAACUCUGUUAUUAGGGAAGAACAUACGUGUAAGUAACUAUGCACGUCUUGACGGUACCUAAUCAGAAAGCCACGGCUAACUACGUGCCAGCAGCCGCGGUAAUACGUAGGUGGCAAGCGUUAUCCGGAAUUAUUGGGCGUAAAGCGCGCGUAGGCGGUUUUUUAAGUCUGAUGUGAAAGCCCACGGCUCAACCGUGGAGGGUCAUUGGAAACUGGAAAACUUGAGUGCAGAAGAGGAAAGUGGAAUUCCAUGUGUAGCGGUGAAAUGCGCAGAGAUAUGGAGGAACACCAGUGGCGAAGGCGACUUUCUGGUCUGUAACUGACGCUGAUGUGCGAAAGCGUGGGGAUCAAACAGGAUUAGAUACCCUGGUAGUCCACGCCGUAAACGAUGAGUGCUAAGUGUUAGGGGGUUUCCGCCCCUUAGUGCUGCAGCUAACGCAUUAAGCACUCCGCCUGGGGAGUACGACCGCAAGGUUGAAACUCAAAGGAAUUGACGGCGGGCGGGGGCGGCGG
rnacentral:rRNA from 1 species